rnacentral:snRNA from 1 species
UAGUGUCACAGCUCUUUUAGAAUUUGUAUAGCAGGUUUCCCAGUUUUUUCUGGUAGUCCCUC